rnacentral:rRNA from 1 species
UACAGAGGUCUCAAGCGUUGUUCGGAUUCAUUGGGCGUAAAGGGUGCGUAGGCGGCGCGGUAAGUCGGGUGUGAAAUCUCGGAGCUUAACUUCGAAACUGCAUUCGAUACUGCCGGUGCUUGAGGACUGGAGAGGAGACUGGAAUUUACGGUGUAGCGGUGAAAUGCGUAGAUAUCGUAAGGAAGACCAGUGGCGAAGGCGGGUCUCUGGACAGUUCCUGACGCUGAGGCACGAAGGCCAGGGGAGCAAACAGG